GCCUUAAACCUAGGUGUAUUUUUACACAUGCACCCGCCCGGGCACUACGAGCACAGCUUAAAACCCAAAGGACUUGGCGGUGCCUCAGACCCACCUAGAGGAGCCUGUUCUAGAACCGAUAAUCCUCGUUAAACCUCACCACUUCUUGUUUUACCCGCCUAUAUACCGCCGUCGUCAGCUUACCCUGUGAAGGCCCAACAGUAAGCAAAACUGGUCAGCCCAAAAACGUCAGGUCGAGGUGUAGCGUACGAAGUGGGAAGAAAUGGGCUACAUUUUCUAAUAAUAGACUAUAACGAAUAGCACGCUGAAACACGUGCUUAAAGGUGGAUUUAGCAGUAAAAAGUAAAUAGAGAGUUCUUUUGAACCCGGCUCUGAAGCGCGC
rnacentral:rRNA from 1 species